GCCCUAAAUAGAUUUAUCAGUCGGUUUAGCAUGAGACUCUUUAUCUCAGGGUCGUGGGUUCGAGCCGCAUGUUGGGCA